UACAGAGGUCCCGAGCGUUGUUCGGAUUCAUUGGGCGUAAAGGGUGCGUAGGCGGGCAGGUAAGUCCGUGGUGAAAUCUCUGAGCUUAACUCAGAAACUGCCAUGGAUACUAUUUGUCUUGAAUGUUGUGGAGGUAAGCGGAAUAUGUCAUGUAGCGGUGAAAUGCUUAGAUAUGACAUAGAAACACCAAUUGCGAAGGCAGCUUACUACACAAAAUAUUGACGCUGAGGCACGAAAGCGUGGGGAUCAAACAGG
rnacentral:rRNA from 1 species